UACGUAGGGGGCGAGCGUUGUCCGGAUUUACUGGGCGUAAAGCGCGUGUAGGCGGCUGCUUAAGUCGGGUGUGAAAACUCGAGGCUUAACCUCGAGAUGUCAUCGGAAACCAUCUGGCUAGAGUCCGGAAGAGGAGAGUGGAAUUCCUGGUGUAGCGGUGAAAUGCGCAGAUAUCAGGAAGAACACCAAUGGCGAAGGCAGCCCCCUGGGCUAACACUGACGCUCAUGCACGAAAGCGUGGGGAGCAAACAGG
rnacentral:rRNA from 1 species